UGAUCCACAGAGAGUUAAAAUGAUCCACAGAGGGUUAAAAUGAUCCACAGGGAGUUAAAAUGAUCCACAGAGAGUUAAAAUGAUCCACAGAGAGUUAAAAUGAUCCACAGUGGGUUAAAAUGAUCCACAGAGAGUUAAAAUGAUCCACAGUGAGUUAAAAUGAUCCACAGAGAGUUAAAAUGAUCCACAGAGAGUUAAAAUGAUCCACAGUGGGUUAAAAUGAUCCACAGUGGGUUAAAAUGAUCUGUUUUGGGGUUCUAAGUGUUGUCGGUGGCUCUGGGUCCACAUGAACCGUUACUGUUGAACUCUAAUUCUAACUUCAUCUCUGAACGUCUUGCUCAGCUUGGCUCUGAAGGCCUCCAUUGGUCAGCUCCACUAACUCACCUGUGCAUGAACCUGUCCUCAGGUGUGAGCAGCAGGACGCCAGUAGCUCCGCCUCCU